rnacentral:rRNA from 1 species
CCGGUGAGUAACGCGUGGGAACGUACCCUUUGGUUCGGGAUAACCCGGGGAAACUCGGGCUAAUACCGGAUAAGCCCCCUUUUCAGAAAUCAGUGAUCAGGGAUCAGUAAUCAGAAGCGAUCAGAGGCGUUGGCGCCUUCUGGUCACUGCUGACUGUUCACUGGUUUCUGUAAGGGGGGAAAGGUUUACUGCCGAAGGAUCGGCCCGCGUCGGAUUAGCUAGUUGGUGUGGUAACGGCGCACCAAGGCGACGAUCCGUAGCUGGUCUGAGAGGAUGAUCAGCCACACUGGGACUGAGACACGGCCCAGACUCCUACGGGAGGCAGCAGUGGGGAAUAUUGGACAAUGGGCGCAAGCCUGAUCCAGCCAUGCCGCGUGAGUGAAGAAGGCCCUAGGGUUGUAAAGCUCUUUCAGCGGGGACGAUAAUGACGGUACCCGCAGAAGAAGCCCCGGCUAACUUCGUGCCAGCAGCCGCGGUAAUACGAAGGGGGCUAGCGUUGUUCGGAUUUACUGGGCGUAAAGCGCGCGUAGGCGGACGUUUAAGUCAGGGGUGAAAUCCCAGGGCUCAACCCUGGAACGGCCUUUGAUACUGG